GUAGCUUCCUUGUCGUGUGGCCUCAGUCCUUCGCCGUCCCUCGCCGUCCUUCGCCAUCGCACGCCACCGCACCCCAUCUCUCGAAAUCUGCAGACAUCUUGAUUUUUCCCACGCUGUCUGUCAGGUCUCCGCCGCCACUCGACGCCAGGGCGCCGGGCCUUGUGGGCUGUGCUGCACCUCGGACGGCUUCGCACCAGCCAGCGCCCUCUCUCUCCUGCAGCACUCUGAUCUGCACCCCCUGAGGGGCUUCCACUGUCCGCGGGGAGUGUCACAUGACUGCCGCCCCAUGUGUGUGAGAGGCGUCCUCUGGGAGAGCAUGGAUCCUGAGGUCCCAGGAUUGUCAGCUGACCUCUGUCCUGUGUGCCCAGUGGCCCCAGGUGACGUGUCUUCAAGAAGAGGCUGAGCUGCGGUGCUUGUAAGAGUCAUGUGCUGUUCCUGGGGCUUGGAUGAUGUAGGGGAAGCAAGGUGAAAGUGGUAUCCCGUGGUUCCACGUUCUGUCCUGCUGUGGGGCUGUCCCUCACAUGCUUUCAGUGGCUGUUGCAGAGGAAGAGCCUCCGGAAAUCUGCGUCUCAGCCUUAGAUCCAAGGACAGUCCAAGGAAGUCCUAAGACCAUGGAGUUGGUGAUCUGGGAUCUGGGUUUGCUGAUAUUUCUCACCGUGAAUCUCUUGGUGGUGUUUGUGGGCACGAGAGGGGCAGAGAAUGGAGAGUGAGGCUACCACAUGAAGCGUCACCAGAGCUGCUCCCUGCUGCCUGCUCAGAGCACCCCGGAUCCACUGUUCAAUCUGCACAAGAUUCGGGGUCCAGACAUGGGAGACUUCAGCUGCCUCAGAGGACCGUGGACAGGGAAGGCCAGCCUCGCAUCCCUCUGUCCAUGCCUGGAAUGACUUUAAUAACCAAGAGUUUUAUUUUUGAAUUUGUAGCUGUCGUUCACUUUUUACCCACCCAUUCAAUAAACCUUACAGAAUUGC
rnacentral:lncRNA from 1 species